rnacentral:rRNA from 1 species
AACGCGAAGAACCUUACCUACCCUUGACAUCCUCGGAAGCUGCUAGAGAUAGUGGUGUGCCGUGAGGAACCGAGAGACAGGUGCUGCAUGGCUGUCGUCAGCUCGUGUCGUGAGAUGUUGGGUUAAGUCCCGUAACGAGCGCAACCCUUGUCCUUAGUUGCUAACGGGUAAAGCUGAGAACUCUAAGGAGACUGCCGGUGACAAGCCGGAGGAAGGUGGGGAUGACGUCAAGUCCUCAUGGCCCUUACGGGUAGGGCUACACACGUGCUACAAUGGGCGGUACAAAGGGAAGCGAAACCGCGAGGUGGAGCGAAUCCUAUUAAAGCUGCCCGUAGUCCGGAUUGGAGUCUGCAACUCGACUCCAUGAAGUUGGAAUCGCUAGUAAUCGUAGAUCAGAACGCUACGGUGAAUACGUUCCCGGGCCUUGUACACACCGCACGA